rnacentral:rRNA from 1 species
GAUGAACGCUGGCGGCGUGCCUAAUACAUGCAAGUCGAGCGAACGGACGAGAAGCUUGCUUUUCUGAUGUUAGCGGCGGACGGGUGAGUAACACGUGGAUAACCUACCUAUAAGACUGGGAUAACUUCGGGAAACCGGAGCUAAUACCGGAUAAUAUUUUGAACCGCAUGGUUCAAAAGUGAAAGACGGUCUUGCUGUCACUUAUAGAUGGAUCCGCGCUGCAUUAGCUAGUUGGUAAGGUAACGGCUUACCAAGGCAACGAUGCAUAGCCGACCUGAGAGGGUGAUCGGCCACACUGGAACUGAGACACGGUCCAGACUCCUACGGGAGGCAGCAGUAGGGAAUCUUCCGCAAUGGGCGAAAGCCUGACGUAGCAACGCCGCGUGAGUGAUGAAGGUCUUCGGAUCGUAAAACUCUGUUAGUAGGGAAGAACAUAUGUGUAAGUAACUGUGCACAUCUUGACGGUACCUAAUCAGAAAGCCACGGCUAACUACGUG